CACGUAGGGGGCAAGCGUUGUCCUGAUUUAUUGGGCGUAAAGAGCUCGUAGGUGGUUCGAUAAGUCGGGUGUGAAACCUCCAGGCUCAACCUGGAGACGCCACCCGAUACUGUCGUGACUAGAGUCCAGUAGGGGAGCGUGGAAUUCCUGGUGUAGCGGUGAAAUGCGCAGAUAUCAGGAGGAACACCGGUGGCGAAGGCGGGUCUCUGGGCCGAUACUGACGCUGAGGAGCGAAAGCGUGGGGAGCAAACAGG
rnacentral:rRNA from 1 species